rnacentral:rRNA from 1 species
GACGAACCGUGCGAACGUUGUUCGGAAUCACUGGGCUUAAAGGGCGCGUAGGCGGGUGUUCAAGUCCGUGGUGAAAUCCUCCGGCUCAACCGGAGAACUGCCUCGGAUACUGAAUGUCUCGAGGGUGGUAGGGGUAUGCGGAACUAUCGGUGGAGCGGUGAAAUGCGUUGAUAUCGAUAGGAACUCCGGUGGCGAAGGCGGCAUACUGGACCACUUCUGACGCUGAGGCGCGAAAGCCAGGGGAGCAAACGGG